rnacentral:misc_RNA from 1 species
UUUCCGUAGGUGAACCUGCGGAAGGAUCAUUACUGAGUGAGGGCCCCUCGGGGUCCAACCUCCCACCCGUGUUUAACGAACCUUGUUGCUUCGGCGGGCCCGCCUCACGGCCGCCGGGGGGCAUCUGCCCCCGGGCCCGCGCCCGCCGAAGCCACCUGUGAACGCUGUCUGAAGUAUGCAGUCUGAGACAAUUAUUAAAUUAAUUAAAACUUUCAACAACGGAUCUCUUGGUUCCGGCGUCGAUGAAGAACGCAGC